CUGAGUCUGGACAGGACGUCACUCUGACAUGUCGAGCUCCAAACAACAAGAUCAAAUUUUUAAAGUGGACAAAAGCUUACCUGCAGUCAGAAGUUGUCAUUUUGCACUGGGAUGGUCACUUUGAUCCAUUUUAUCAGCAUCCAUCUUUUAAGAACCGGGUGGAUCUGCAGGACAGACAGAAUGUGACGAUUAAUGACAUACGAGUGUUGAGCUGAUGUGAGAGAAACACGCUUAUGGGAUCUCAGCAGCAUCUACCUGAGUGUUGUUGAUCCUCCAGAGAAACACACCACCACACCUCCACCUACAUUGAGCAGCUCACCUCCACCUACAUCCACACCUCCACCUGGUUCCACCUCCAUCACUCUUCCUCCAUCACUCUCUACUCCUCCUCUCUCUGUGCUGUUGCCUGUUGGAUCAGUCUAUGUUGUGGUUCUACUGGUGUUACUGGUUCUGCGGGUGAGACGUUGUGUUCACAGGAAACUUGAAGAGACUGAUUCAGCUGUGGUCUACUCAGCAGUGAGAACUGAAGACAUCAGUCAUGGACAAAGAACCAUGAGAACAAGGAGGCCCAGGUACAGCUGCUCUUUAUCUGUGACUGUGGACAGAGACAAGCUAGCUGCUCGCCCUGUUUACAGCCAUCAUGCUAAGCUAAGCUAACCAAACUACAUCGUGACUCAAGCCCAGAGCUCAGACAUCAAACUUCUCAUCUUUCUGUCCAAAAAC
ensembl:lncRNA